GUUGAACGCUGGCGGCAGGCCUAACACAUGCAAGUCGAACGAGCGGCGGACGGGUGAGUAAUGUAUGGGGACUGCCCGAUAUAGGGGGAUAACUACUGGAAACGGUGGCUAAUACCGCAUACUGUCUGAUAACCCAUAUGGUAUGAGCUAGUAGGUAAGGUAAUGGCUUACCUAGGCGACGAUCCCUAGAUGGUCUGAGAGGAUGAUGAGCCACACGGGGACUGAGACACGGCCCAGACUCCUACGGAGGUAGCAGUGGGGAAUAUUGCACAAUGGGCGCAAGCUGGAUGCAGCCCGGCCGCGUGUAUGAAGAAGGCCCUAGGGUUGUAAAGUACUUUCAGUCGGGAGGCGUUACCGACAGAAGAAGCACCGGCUAACUCCGUGCCAGCAGCCGCGGUAAUUC
rnacentral:rRNA from 1 species